UACGAAGGGGGCUAGCGUUGUUCGGAAUCACUGGGCGUAGAGGGCGCGUAGGCGGCCAUAUAAGUCGGGGGUGAAAGCCUGUGGCUCAACCACAGAAUUGCCUUCGAUACUGUAUGGCUCGAGACCGGAAGAGGUAAGUGGAACUGCGAGUGUAGAGGUGAAAUUCGUAGAUAUUCGCAAGAACACCAGUGGCGAAGGCGGCUUACUGGUCCGGUUCUGACGCUGAGGCGCGAAAGCGUGGGGAGCAAACAGG
rnacentral:rRNA from 1 species